rnacentral:rRNA from 1 species
UACGAAGGGGGCUAGCGUUGCUCGGAAUUACUGGGCGUAAAGCGCACGUAGGCGGCUUUCUAAGUCGGGGGUGAAAUCCUGGAGCUCAACUCCAGAACUGCCUUCGAUACUGGAAAGCUCGAGUCCGGGAGAGGUGAGUGGAACUGCGAGUGUAGAGGUGAAAAUUCGUAGAUAUUCGCAAGAACACCAGUGGCGAAGGCGGCAUCAGCUUGGACCCGGUACUGACGCGUG